AAUCAACGCUGGCGGCAUGCCUAACACAUGCAAGUCGAACGCGGUUUCCCCGCGAGGGGAAACUGAGUGGCGAACGGGUGAGUAACACGUGGGUGACCUACCUUCGAGUGGGGGAUAACGUCCCGAAGGGACGCUAAUACCGCAUGUCAUCCUGUCCUUGAACGGAUGGAGAUCAAAGCCGGGGAUCGCAAGACCCGGCG
rnacentral:rRNA from 1 species